CUACGGGAUGCAGCAGUGGGGAAUAUUGCACAAUGGGCGCAAGCCUGAUGCAGCCAUGCCGCGUGUAUGAAGAAGGCCUUCGGGUUGUAAAGUACUUUCAGCGGGGAGGAAGGGAGUAAAGUUAAUACCUUUGCUCAUUGACGUUACCCGCAGAAGAAGCACCGGCUAACUCCGUGCCAGCAGCCGCGGUAAUACGGAGGGUGCAAGCGUUAAUCGGAAUUACUGGGCGUAAAGCGCACGCAGGCGGUUUGUUAAGUCAGAUGUGAAAUCCCCAGGCUCAACCUGGGAACUGCAUCUGAUACUGGCAAGCUUGAGGCUCGUAGAGGGGGGUAGAAUUCCAGGUGUAGCGGUGAAAUGCGUAGAGAUCUGGAGGAAUACCGGUGGCGAAGGCGGCCCCCUGGACGAAGACUGACGCUCAGGUGCGAAAGCGUGGGGAGCAAACAGGAUUAGAUACCCCUGUAGUC
rnacentral:rRNA from 1 species